rnacentral:rRNA from 1 species
UACGAAGGGGGCUAGCGUUGCUCGGAAUCACUGGGCGUAAAGGGUGCGUAGGCGGGUCUUUAAGUCAGGGGUGAAAUCCUGGAGCUCAACUCCAGAACUGCCUUUGAUACUGAAGAUCUUGAGUUCGGGAGAGGUGAGUGGAACUGCGAGUGUAGAGGUGAAAUUCGUAGAUAUUCGCAAGAACACCAGUGGCGAAGGCGGCUCACUGGCCCGAUACUGACGCUGAGGCACUAAAGCGUGGGGAGCAAACAGG